rnacentral:rRNA from 1 species
UCGAGAAUAUUCCCCAAUGGCCGAAAGGCUGAGGGAGCGACGCCGCGUGUAGGAUGAAGGCCUUCGGGUCGUAAACUACUUUUUUGCGGAACGAACGAAAGUGACGGUACCGUAAGAAUAAGGGGCUGCUAACUUCGUGCCAGCAGCAGCGGUAAUACGAAGGCCCCGAGCGUUAUCCGGAUUUAUUGGGCGUAAAGCGUUCAACGGCGGUCUCGAUAGUCAUGGGUUAAAUCCUGGGGCUCAACCCCAGACACGCCCGUGAUACUCCGAGACUAGAGGAUGGGAGAGGCAAGCGGAAUUACCGGUGUAGUAGUAAAAUGCGUUAAUAUCGGUAAGAACACCAAUGGCGAAGGCAGCUUGCUAGAACAAUCCUGACGCUAAAAGAACGAAAGCGUGGGGAGCGAAUGGG